UCUAUGGGUCCAAAUUAGGCUUGCUUCCAAUGGCAACUCUCCCCAUUUUUUGUAAUAUCUGUCACCUUAGUUUGUUGACCAAGUUGACCGAAGUUUUUGUUUCUCUGUUGACUGUUGACCGAUCCCUUGGAUUCCUGACAAGGUUUCAUUUCAAGCUAGCUUCUCACCCGUGAGCUCCGGUCGAGGUUGGUGGGAGAGUUUUCAAAAGCAAAGUUUCAGACUGAAGAGACCAGCCGUGAGGAGGAUCUCGGAGUCGCAGCGCUUUGGGUUCGGCAGCAGCGAGGGAGGUUGGAGUUUCAUCGAUUAAUUAUUCUUCAAGCUUCAGAUUUUGUAGCGAGCCCUAGUUCGCGGGACUUGGUGAACCCGACUUUGUAGCUUGGAGCCAGGAGAAGAUCAAGUCUAGGAUCAGGGGGUGUCUGGGAGUCGUAUUUUCUGCUUUUGACAGUAUCUUUGUAGUGCAUUUUUUCUCUGUGAAUAAGUCUUGCAUUCUGGCUGUAUUUGUGAUUUGUAAACUAUUUGACAGUCUCUUGUAUUCUGUGGGGCUGCUAAAGCCCGUACUUGCAUCAUUUCAGUUUAU